AAUUCCUCGGCUGUUGGAAAACACAUUUUUAAAUUACAGAUAUGUGCUGUCCGGACAUCCUCUCCAGUGUCCUCUAGAGCUAUUUGAUAGUUCAACGGACCAAGCUGCUUCAGGAUACGCUGAUGGAGAUGAUGAACCACAUCAUAGGAAGCAGUGUCUGGAGUUAAAUUACGGCCAUGAAGCAUUUUGUCCAUUGGACCUUGGAGUUUUCUGCCAAGCUGGAGUUCUGCUGGGGAUAGUGCAGUGGUUUCUUGGAUGCCUGAAUUCAGGGCGAAUCGGAACUCUGCUGAGACAAACUGAACACCCCUGUCUGAGAGGAUGAAAUCUGGCACACCCCAUCGUGUCAGAAUCUCUUUUCUGAAGAUGGAAGCAACAUUCUGAGCCGUGGCCUGACGGAUGGGAAACAGCUCAACCCAUCGAGAAAAAUAAUCAACAAAAACUAGUUUCUGAUUUUCAUUUUUUAAUGUUUGACACUUUACACAAGCUCUGACAUGACGUUUCACGUCAGCCCACAUGCCUGGCCAAAAAACCACUUCCUGGAGUCGCUUGUACGUUUUGAAGAUCCCUCCAUGGCCACUAAGUGGACUGGAGUGAUAAUGCUGCAGCAGAGAGGGCCGAAGACUACUGGGAACAUACACUCGGUAGUGCAACUGGUUAUUUGGGAGGACAACAUCUGAUAAAGACAAGUCUGGAUCCUUGUGGCUGGUGUACAGACUGCAGCUUGAGUCUUAGGACCCAACGGAUGAGUCGACUGGUGGUUUUGGUGGAACCCAUGACCCAUUGCAAGGCGGAGUGGUCAGUGACAACUGUGAAGAGUUUGUGUUCGAGCAUCCUUCCUUUGUGCCAAAAUGGCACCCAAACCGUGUCACUGGCAUCAGUAUAAACCAUGAAGGG